GAUAAACUGAAUUCUGAGCUCUCUGCCUUCCCCCAUGUGUCUACCACUGACAUAUUGUGCUUGGUUGUUUUUACCAUUCCAGUUUUGUUCCCCAGGAAUAACAAGGCAUGGAGCCUAACUGCAUCAAGGUAUUCCAGCGAGGGCUGUGGAAACCACCAGAGAAACACUUCUGUCCACACGCAUGCUCUGGGCAAAGGUAAAUCCUUUGGAAUACAAGAACAGAUCCCAACUCAUCCUGACUUGAGUUGUUGGCCGAGCAGCAUCCUCACGGCAAACACUGGGACCGUCAGAUAGCAUCCGAGGUCUGUAGCAGAGGUUCCCCACUUUGCUUUAACCUGCACUCCUGUGCCCAUCAAUAAAUUUGAAAAGUACCUUGUAA
rnacentral:lncRNA from 1 species